GCGCUCCCGCCUCCCCUGCGGCGGCCACUGCCCGGGAACGAGGCAAGAGAGGUAAAAAAGUAACUGGCAGAGAUCACACAGCCAGCCGCAGAGACGGGACCCAAUCCUGGGUACUAGGAGUCUACAGGCCCACCGUCUUAACCACACUGCUACACCACCUGCCAAUCACGGCGCACUAAAGUUCUCUUGUGUUGAUGGAUGCAUCAGAAUGACACUGCAUGAAAACUGCGAAUCAGAAGGCCAUGGAGCCCCCCAGUGGCUCAUGAUGUGGGAAUCAUGGUGGAGUGCACGGUGAAACAAGACUGCUCACUUCAUGGCCAGGGAACAAAGGAGAAGGGAGACGAGGCUGGGGUCCUGCAGUCUCGUUCCAGGGCACAGUCCCAGUGGCCCCCACUAAGCCCCACCCCUGAAAGAUGCCAACACCAAUCUGGGGACUAAGCCUUCAACGCAUAGGCCUUGGGAACAUUCUAGAUCCACGCUGUAGCAAGUAUCGUCUAGGCCUAGUGGCUCGCUUCUGAGGAACAGUUAACCACGCCAGUGGGAGGUCACCCCUGACAUCCAGGCUAUGAAUGACUCUGCUUUCUGUUUUGCUCAUCUGCCUGCUUGCUUGGAAGACAUGAGUUUGCCUGUGUCGAGCUGUGCACACAAAGGCUGACAGCCUGGGAGGACUAAAAGGAGCUGACUGCUGCCUCAGUCUCAUGGGUGAACUUGAAAGCCCGUCGUCCCCCAGCCAAGCCUUGGGAAGACACCAGCCCGGGCUGACUCCUGGACUUCAGUCCAUGGGAGACCCUGUGCCUUGGACUCAGCCAAGCUGUGUUUCAUCUCCAGACCCACAGAAAUUGUAAGACAAGAAAUGCUGCUAUGUUAAGAUGCUGAAUCCGUCACUGACAUAGCUGUUUAAGUGUAUUUCAGAGCUCUGACUCUGCAUCUGACCACAGGCCUAUUUCCUGGCUAGAAAAAGGACAAAAACGUUCAACUGCCAUUGGCAUAAGGUGAAGAUGCAGUGCUAGAUAAAGAAGCAAUUGUGAGAGAGAUGAGGCAUCAGUAUGGCUUUUCCAAUUAGCCCCAGUCUUCCCUAGCUCAACACCCCAGAGUCAUACUGUGCCCCUACACCACUCGGGGGUGGACUGUCCACUGUGCCCCAGCCAGAGCUGGUCCUUUUUGUCCCCUCAGCUGCCAGCCACAGUGUCAGCUGGCCCACACUGCUAAAACUUUGUAGUGUGUGAUUGUUACUCAUUAUGGAUAAUAAUAGUAUAUGCAGUUAUAUAUUCACAAUAUACAAGUAAUGCUAGGACGUGCAGUUUGAUGCAUCACCUGAUCCAUGAGCAAUGGAAAGUUUCCACAGACGCAAAACACCAGUUGCUCCCCCAUGCUUCGCCUCACCAUCUGCCACACAACCACAGAAUCCUGCGUGCCAGCCUGAUGCCAUUUGGGCACGUGGCAAACAGAAGCAGAAAUUUGAAACCCGUGUCUUACCUGGUGCUUAGCAACACGGUAUCCCCACACCUAACUAAAAGGAGGUGGUGUGCAGUGUGAUGGUCACACUGCGGGGAAUGUGCCCUUUGUGGCUGCCAUAUGUGGAUUUCUUCUCUGAGAGCUUGUGAGUCACUAGGAUCUUCAUUUUGGCUCAACCCACUGCCUGCCAUGCUUGGAGAACCAAGUUGAAAAGAGCAGGAGCAUUUUCAGUGAUAAUAAGCAUGUUCCUAUAGCCAACUCCUCCAUCUGUUCCUACAGUUUCCGUCUACAGGAAUGUACAAAGGUUCUGCAAAACAGAUUUAAGACUAGCCAAGGUCCAUG
rnacentral:lncRNA from 1 species